GAUGAACGCUGGCGGCGUGCCUAAUACAUGCAAGUCGAGCGAACAGACGAGGAGCUUGCUCCUCUGACGUUAGCGGCGGACGGGUGAGUAACACGUGGAUAACCUACCUAUAAGACUGGGAUAACUUCGGGAAACCGGAGCUAAUACCGGAUAAUAUAUUGAACCGCAUGGUUCAAUAGUGAAAGACGGUUUUGCUGUCACUUAUAGAUGGAUCCGCGCCGCAUUAGCUAGUUGGUAAGGUAACGGCUUACCAAGGCAACGAUGCGUAGCCGACCUGAGAGGGUGAUCGGCCACACUGGAACUGAGACACGGUCCAGCCUCCUACGGGAGGCAGCAGUAGGGAAUCUUCCGCAAUGGGCGAAAGCCUGACGGAGCAACGCCGCGUGAGUGAUGAAGGUCUUCGGAUCGUAAAACUCUGUUAUUAGGGAAGAACAAAUGUGUAAGUAACUAUGCACGUCUUGACGGUACCUAAUCAGAAAGCCACGGCUAACUACGU
rnacentral:rRNA from 1 species